UACAGAGGUGGCAAGCGUUGUUCGGAAUUACUGGGCGUAAAGGGCGCGUAGGCGGUUCGUUAAGUCCUGUGUGAAAUCCCCCGGCUCAACUGGGGAACUGCACAGGAAACUAGCGGGCUUGAGAUCGGGAGAGGGAAGCGGAAUUCCGGGUGUAGCGGUGAAAUGCGUAGAUAUCCGGAGGAACACCGGUGGCGAAGGCGGCUUCCUGGACCGACACUGACGCUGAGGCGCGAAAGCUAGGGGAGCAAACGGG
rnacentral:rRNA from 1 species